GUUUGGCCGUCAUUGUAAAUAAGAAUUUGUUCUUAACUGACUUGCCUAGUUAAAUAAAGGUUAAAUGAAAUACAUAUUCCCUGGGCUGUCCUUAAUCUGAUGCUGAACCAAAUCUGAUAUAUACUUGCCUUGGCCCCUGCAACAAGGAUAUUUCAUUUCAGAGCAGCACUGCGACAUGGUACAUGUCAUCAUGAUUGAAUGGUUUGGUGUCAUUCUUGUGUGAACUUCAGAGGGUCUAUUUACUUUCUUCUUACUUAAGGGCCAGCCCACAGAUUGACGAGGGCGUUCCUUUUAAAGAACACACCAAACAAUGGUGGCUGGCUCAGCUGGUUCUCUGGAGGGGAAAAGAGGUUAAUCAGAAGGAGGCUCAUCUACCCGAGGACAAAGACAAAUCGAUUAUCUGGGAUCCAACCCUGCACAGAUGGGUUGACAAAAUUGAGCACAAUGCUGAGAACAAGCCAGUACCACCACCUCCCCCGAUGGGAAUGAAUGGACAUCUGGGGAACUCUGGCAGUCUCCCCAAAGGAGUGAAUCCUUAGUCCAUGAAAGCAGGUGAAUGUUAAUUUAGACUACAUUAGGUUUAACUCCAAGAUUGUACCAGCCAAUCAUUGCUCUUUGUGGUGAUCUCCUGCUAACAUUUUCCCCACUAACUGCAAGUCUAUGGGGCAAUUAUGGACCACCACAAAGCAUCCAAGCCAGGGACCUGGACUGCGUCCUCCCUCACACUCUUCCCUCAUUGCGCCUAUGGCGUUGCCAUUUGAGUCUGCGCAAGAUAGCUGGCAGAAUCUUGCCCCUGGUAUUCUAUCCUAUUGAGGUAUGAUUCUGAACAAUCCUUCCAAAAAUAAUCAAUUUCAUUAACUAUGCCUUUACUUUACAGUAACAGAUUGCCAAAUUAGUUCUUAUUUGAAAGACUCAAGUGUAACGGAUGUGAAAUGGCUAGCUAGUUAGCGGGUACGCGCUAGUAGCAUUUCAAUCAGUUACGUCACUUGCUCUGAGACUUAAGUAGUGUUGCCCCUUGCUCUGCAAGAGCCGCGGCCUUUGUGGAGCGAUGGGUAACGAUGCUUCGUGGGCAACCGUUGUUGAUGUGUGCAGAGGUUCCCUGGUUCGCGCCCGUGUCGGGGCGAGGGGACGACGUAAAGUUAUACUGUUACAUUGAUGCUGUUGACCUGGAUCACUGGUUGCUGCGGAAAAGGAGGAGGUUUAAAGGGGGGUGAGUGUAACGGAUGUGAAAUGGCUAGCUAGUUAGCGGGUACGCGCUACUAGCGUUUCAAUCAGUUACGUCACUUGCUUUGAAACCUACAAGUAGUGUUGCCCCUUGCUCUGCAAGGGCCGUGGCUUUUGUGGAGCGAUGGGUAACGACGCUUCGUGGGCGACUGUUGUUGAUGUGUGCAGAGGGUCCCUGGUUCGCGCCCGUGUCGGGGCGAGGGGACGACGUAAAGUUAUACUGUUACACAAGCAUAUCCCUCUCUCCGUCAUUUCAUCAUGUUCACAUAGCUUUGAUAUGUUCAUCACUUACAAGCCCAUUGAUAAUGAAAUGAAUCAUCUGUGUAGCUCCAGUUAUGCCUUAAUGCCGAAUAACUGGGGAAAAUAGCACCAUCUAUUUUCAUUAUUAAUAUUGCCUAUGCAUUAUUUUGUGGUUGAGGCACAUAGCUGGAUGAUCUACACAACAUAUGGCAAGAGCCAAUGACUCGCUAUGAUAAAUUCUGAGUUCAACUUCAACUGGGUGAGUUCCCAUGAGCUUGAAAGUAUUCACUAUGAAAAUACAUAUUUUUUGUGUAUCGUUGAAUAGGCUAUGCUUCCGUUAGUUCACACAAUAAUAUCCAUAUUACAAU